rnacentral:rRNA from 1 species
CCCCCCCGCCAGGGGAAUUACGAGCCCAAUCUUAAAACCCAAAGGACUUGACGGGGUCCCACCCACCUAAAGGAGCCUGUUYUAUAAUCGACACUCCCCGYUACACCUMACCAYUUUUAGCUUAUCAGUCUGUAUACCUCCGUCGUAAGCUUACCGUAUGAACGCUUACAGGGGGCUAAAUGAUCCCCGUCAACACGUCAGGUCAAGGUGCAACUUACAAACUGGAAAGCAAUGGGCUACAAUUUCUAUCAAUAGAACACACGAAAAACUGCAUGAAACACAGUCAUUGAAGGUGGAUUUAGUAGUAAAAAGAAAUUAGAGAGUUCUUUUAAAUCCGGCCCUGGGACGCGC